CUAAACUGAGGGAGGUACGUCGAAACUGACCGGCUAGAGGGACGUGGAGGUAAGCGGAACUCUCGGAGUAGCGGUGAAAUGCGUAGAGACCGAGAGGUACCCCGAUGGUGAAGACAGCUUACUGGGCGUCUCCUGACGCUGAAGCGCUAAGGCCAGGGGAGCGAAGGGGAUUAGAUACCCCCGUAGUCCUGGCUUCAAACGAUGUGGGCUUGGUGUCGGCCCCCUAUAGAGGGUCGUUGCCGGAGUUAACGCGUUAAGCCCACCGCCUGGGGAUUACGUCCGCAAGGAUGAAACUCAAGGGAAUUGACGGGGGCCCACACAACCGGUGGAGCACGUGGUUUAAUUCGAUGAUAAGCGAAGGACCUUACCAGGGCUUGACCUAGCGGUAGUAGAACCCCGAAAGGGGAACGACCUCAAGCUUUGCUUGAGGAGCC
rnacentral:rRNA from 1 species